UUAAUUCUGUUCUUGAAGUGGAUUAUUUCAGUCUAGUCUAAGAGCUAAGAAAUAUUUUUGUGUGUAUCAUGUGUUUUAAUUUCAGAAUCAUGGAACAAAGAUUUAGGAAGAGAUAAAAUGAGACUGGUGAAGACUAUAAUAAUCUUACUCCCUCUGAAAAGGAGCAAAUCUGAAAACAGAAACGCAAAGAAAAUUAUCUUUAUUUGGAAGCAAAGGAUAACAGCACAGAGCAGAAUGACGAGAAGAUUGCCUUCAGCAAGAAAGAGACUUGCUUGAGCAUGGAGGAGAAUGAUUUGAGUGACAAAGAUAAUGAUUUGAGUGUUAAGAAGAAUGACUCCAGUGUUUUGAAGAAUGAGAUAGGUCAAGAAGAGACUGACCAGGAAGCAUGAUUUAAAGAAUGGGUGACUGUUCUUAGCAGGGACAAAAAUUGACUUGAUUGGCGGAGAGAAAAGUUUCAGCUAGGGCUGGGCAUUGUUCCUGGGGAACGAUUGUUCUUUCACAAGAACGAACGGAACUAUCAAGAAAGAUCCCUUCAUUCCGAAAAAAGAACUAACGCCUAUCUCUUUCUUCAGAUGCUUUCCAAGUUCAGAAAUCCUUUGAAACACCGUGUCCAGUCUGUAGAACUAGGAUGAAAGGCGACAUGUUCUCUCCUCUAACCCUGUGCACCAGCUUUUAAUUGUCUCUCAAUUUAGUUUUCACCGUUGGAACAAUAGAAGUGCACUAUUAAACCAUACACAGAAUAUUAGUAUUACAUAUUUAUUAGACGUGAUGAAUGGCAAAAUGUUGUGACCAGAUUAAGUUAUUUAACAGAACACAUUAAAAUCCAAUAUUUCAAAAUGUGAUAUGUGGUGAUAUGUUACGACCAGAUAAAAGGAUUUAAAACGUUAUAUGAGAACUUUAUAAAAGCUUAGCACAAA